GGAGAGCUACCAUUGGAUCCUGCUUAAACAACUCAUUUCCUCUCCCCAGCUGCACCUCUCUCCUUGUCUCUCCAUCUGAGGGGCUAUUUCAGAGUCCUCUGUUUCAAGCUCAACCCAACCAGUGAGAAUGUUACUGCUGCAGGUUCUUAUUGUGACUUCAACAUGGUCUUAUGGAUCUUCGCAAAUAACUCUGAUACAAACUCCACUGUCUGUCACCAUUGCGGGAACUAAAAGUGCAUCUAUGAGGUGUAAAAUUUCUGGCGAAAGUUUUAAUUUUAACAGUGCUUAUAUACACUGGUAUCGACAGAUCCCUGGGAAAGCUCCAGAGAGGAUUUUGUAUAUUGCAUCAGGAUCAGCUAUUAUGGAUCCAGGCUUUGAUAAAAAAAAGUUUAUAGCUGAUAGUUACGUUUCUGUGUCCACCUCUAAGCUCACAGUACACCAACUAACCCGAGAGGAUGCUGCUACCUAUUAUUGUGCCACCUGGGUUCGCACAGUACUAGAAAGCCAUAGACAACCUGUACAAAAACCCACUCUGCAUUCUGAGCCAAGUGUAUGAAACCAGACAGAUCCCUUAUACUUCCUCUCUACUUGGAACCAGCUGUAGAAACUCCUGACUGGUUUUUGCACUCUGACAGGAAGAACAACAGUGUAGGACUGCAGUUUUGAAUUAUAUUUUGUUAUAAAUCGUCACAAGACCUUUUAGAGCUGGACAAAGUUGUUUUGGCAUAUAGUU